AAUAAAUACAGAAGGCCAAUGAAAUAUUGAUAGUGUUAAUUGGGAUCAGAUAAUAAAAAACAAAAAUCAAACCAUGAUAUACAUUUGCACCUAACAUGAUGGGGAAGAUUAAAAAGCUUGGGUGGGGGGUGUGAGUAGAGUGGGUUUUCCACAUUCUAUCGGUAGGGUUGUAAGUCAGGGUGGCUUUUUGGGGAGGGUGAUUUAUAUGAUGUAUCACAAAGGAAUUUGCUUUAAAGAGAGCUUGCAGCGCGAUAUUCCACGUUGUCCAUUGUGGUUGCACUGCGGUCAGUUGAUAAGACGACUCUCCACUUUCAUUAACACGGAACUGCUUCAGUUAGGGUCUGUAGAGCCAGUUCGGUACCGUUUUGCAGAUUGGUGGCAGGUCACGUCUCGCGGUAAUUGGUGAGACUCGGGAUAAUUGCUGCCACCGCUCCCCUGUGGCCGCCAUUUUGUACAGACUGAGCCCAUUCAGUGUUUUGCUGCCAACUGCAGUCUCUUUGCUUGACCCGUGGCCAGGUCCAAACCCAUGCUCCAUCAGCGCACUGGAAGGAAGCAGAUGGCUGAGGGACACGAUCCGUGGAACGGGGUUAGGAAAUUUGUGAAGGAUUUCCAGCUCAUUCCAUCUGUACCAGUUGAAAGAUACCAGACCAACAUGAAAAGGCAGACUGGGAAGGCCAUUUUCCAUGGAAAAAGAUGCCUCUUUUCAGGCACAGGAAAUGCCUCUGUCCCCAGUGGGGUGCCCUGGAGAAGGAAGGGCCUGUGUUUUGGGCCCAGGACCUGCGUGAGAUUCACGCCUGCAGCUCCAGCCAGGAGUGCCCUUGGCCACUGACAAAAUGAUUUUGGUGACUUCCUUCUCCACAAGUCCAUUGUGAAGCCCAGACCCAACCUCCAGUGUGCCUCCCUGGGCAGCGACCCAGUCAGCUUUUCCUCUCGGGCGCGGACAAUGAUCCUGGUUCCAGAAUGCCCCGGACCAUGGCGUGUUUUUAAGGAUCUGGCAGAAAUCACUAAACAUAAGAGCAUGCAUGAAAAAUUGAAAUUAUGCCAAAGAAUCAGACACGUUUUCAAUUUAUUUGAAAUAUGUAGUAAGUCAUCAAACGAACCAUAGUGCUGAAAAACAUGAAAAAAAAAAAAAAGAAAGAAAA
rnacentral:lncRNA from 1 species